CAGUAGCCGCGGGAAUACGGAGGGUGCAAGCGUUAUCCGGAUUUAUUGGGUUUAAAGGGUCCGUAGGCGGACUUAUAAGUCAGUGGUGAAAGCCUGUCGCUUAACGAUAGAACUGCCAUUGAUACUGUAAGUCUUGAGUAUAUUUGAGGUAGCUGGAAUAAGUAGUGUAGCGGUGAAAUGCAUAGAUAUUACUUAGAACACCAAUUGCGAAGGCAGGUUACCAAGAUAUAACUGACGCUGAGGGACGAAAGCGUGGGUAGCGAACAGGAUUAGAUACCCCCGUAGUCCCUGUCUCUUAUAA
rnacentral:rRNA from 1 species